rnacentral:rRNA from 1 species
GAUCCUGGCUCAGAAUCAACGCUGGCGGCGUGCCUAACACAUGCAAGUCGAACGCGAAAGCCUCGCAAGGGGCCAGUAGAGUGGCAAACGGGUGAGUAACACGUGGGUGACCUGCCUUCGAGUGGGGGAUAACGUCCCGAAAGGGACGCUAAUACCGCAUAACAUGCUGUUUUUGAACAGAUGGACAUCAAAGCUGGGGACCGCAAGGCCUGGCGCUUGAAGAGGGGCCCGCGCCUGAUUAGCUAGUUGGUGGGGUAAUGGCUCACCAAGGCAUCGAUCAGUAUCCGGCCUGAGAGGGCGGACGGACACACUGGGACUGAGACACGGCCCAGACUCCUACGGGAGGCAGCAGUGGGGAAUUGUUCGCAAUGGGCGCAAGCCUGACGACGCAACGCCGCGUGGAGGAUGAAGACCUUCGGGUCGUAAACUCCUUUCGAUCGAGACGAAUGGUCUCUGGGUGAAUAGCCCGGGGAAGUGACGGUACCGAGAGAAGAAGCCCCGGCUAACUCCGUGCCAGCAGCCGCGGUAAUACGGGGGGGGCAAGCGUUGUUCGGAAUUACUGGGCGUAAAGGGCUCGUAGGUGGCCAACUAAGUCAGACGUGAAAUCCCUCGGCUUAACCGGGGAACUGCGUCUGAUACUGGAUGGCUUGAGUUCGGGAGAGGGAUGCGGAAUUCCAGGUGUAGCGGUGA